AGCAGCCGCGGUAAUUCCAGCUCCAAUAGCGUAUAUUAAAGUUGUUGCAGUUAAAAAGCUCGUAGUUGAAUUUCGGGAUCAAUUAAUUGGUCGUGCCUCUGGUACGCACUGGUUUUAUUGGUUUCUCCCUUCUGACGAACCACGAUGUCAUUAAUUUGGUGUCGUGGAGAAUCAGGACUGUUACUUUGAAAAAAUUAGAGUGUUUAAAGCAGGCUAACGCUUGAAUACAUUAGCAUGGAAUAAUGAAAUAGGACGUUUGAUCCUAUUUUGUUGGUUUCUAGGAUCGACGUAAUGAUUAAUAGGGAUAGUUGGGGGCAUUAGUAUUCAAUUGUCAGAGGUGAAAUUCUUGGAUUUAUUGAAGACUAACUACUGCGAAAGCAUUUGCCAAGGAUGUUUUCAUUAAUCAAGAACGAAAGUUAGGGGAUCGAAGACGAUCAGAUACCGUCGUAGUCUUAACCAUAAACUAUGCCGACUAGGGAUCGGAUGAUGUUAAUUUUUUAAUGACUCAUUCGGCGCCUUA
rnacentral:misc_RNA from 1 species